rnacentral:rRNA from 4 species
CACAUGACUCUCGGCAACGGAUAUCUCGGCUCUCGCAUCGAUGAAGAACGUAGCAAAAUGCGAUACCUGGUGUGAAUUGCAGAAUCCCGCGAACCAUCGAGUUUUUGAACGCAAGUUGCGCCCGAGGCCUUCUGGUCGAGGGCACGUCUGCCUGGGCGUCACGC